rnacentral:rRNA from 1 species
GGACACGUGGUAUCCUGUCUGAAUAUGGGGGGACCAUCCUCCAAGGCUAAAUACUCCUGACUGACCGAUAGUGAACCAGUACCGUGAGGGAAAGGCGAAAAGAACCCCGGCGAGGGGAGUGAAAAAGAACCUGAAACCGUGUACGUACAAGCAGUGGGAGCCUCUUUUAUGGGGUGACUGCGUACCUUUUGUAUAAUGGGUCAGCGACUUAUAUUCUGUAGCAAGGUUAACCGAAUAGGGGAGCCGAAGGGAAACCGAGUCUUAACUGGGCGUUAAGUUGCAGGGUAUAGACCCGAAACCCGGUGAUCUAGCCAUGGGCAGGUUGAAGGUUGGGUAACACUAACUGGAGGACCGAACCGACUAAUGUUGAAAAAUUAGCGGAUGACUUGUGGCUGGGGGUGAAAGGCCAAUCAAACCGGGAGAUAGCUGGUUCUCCCCGAAAGCUAUUUAGGUAGCGCCUCGUGAAUUCAUCUCCGGGGGUAGAGCACUGUUUCGGCAAGGGGGUCAUCCCGACUUACCAACCCGAUGCAAACUGCGAAUACCGGAGAAUGUUAUCACGGGAGACACACGGCGGGUGCUAACGUCCGUCGUGAAGAGGGAAACAACCCAGACCGCCAGCUAAGGUCCCAAAGUCAUGG